rnacentral:tRNA from 1 species
GGGGUUGUGGCUCAAUGGUAGAGCGCUUGCUUUGCAUGUGUGUGGCCCUGGGUUCGAUUCUUAGCACCG